rnacentral:rRNA from 1 species
AUUGAACGCUGGCGGCAGGCUUAACACAUGCAAGUCGAGCGAGCGGCGGACGGGUGAGUAAUGUCUGGGAAACUGCCUGAUGGAGGGGGAUAACUACUGGAAACGGUAGCUAAUACCGCAUAACAUCAGAUGUGCCCAGAUGGGAUUAGCUAGUAGGUGGGGUAAUGGCUCCACUAGGCGACGAUCCCUAGCUGGUCUGAGAGGAUGACGAGCCACACUGGAACUGGGACACGGUCCAGACUCCUACGGAAGGCAGCAGUGGGGAAUAUUGCUCAAUGAGCGAAAUCCUGAUACAGCCAUGCCGCGUGUGUGAGGAAGGCCUGCGUGUUGUAAAGCACUUUCAGCGAGGAGGCGUUACUCGAAGAAGAAGCACCGGCUAACUCCGUGCCAGCAGCCGCGGUAAUAC